AAACGACUAUUACACGGAAAAGUUCUUGGGCGAGUCGCUGUACCUGUUGUGGUGGCGCUGAGUGACCAGUACCUAUGGUAAAGUGACAGCCCCAUUUUGGUAGCUCAUUUCACCCACAGAGACUGCUGCUUUCCUACUGUGGGGCGUCAGAGCUCUCUUGUGGGGCAUCAGAGCUCUCUUUAGAGAGAAAGCAGAAAACCUUUUCUGUGGGAGGCGAGUGAGAGACGUCUGCUCGCCCAAAAACUUUUCCGUGUACUCUUUUUCAGAAUCAUAAUUUACUGUGAGUUAAUGACGACGACGACGCCGAGGGGGAGGAGAAGGAGCACAACAAAUGGAUGAAUCGUUACACUUUUACAGAAGAAUCAACAUCUACUCCAACUUGAUGACCGGCAAAACAACUUUAUCUUCUCUUCACGUAUCAAUACAUAAAGACACUAUAUAUAUAAUUAUAAUAAUAAGGAAACUUUUAUUAUAUUAUAUUUUGAACGCUUGUCUAAUUGAUACGAAUAAGUGACUUACGAUAUUUCUGUACACUACAAUUGUUUUGUAAUGCUUUACACUAGACAUCAUUCAAUAGGCGCUGCUCACGUGGUGCCCUUAUCUUACGAUUUGGCCAGGGUAGGCUCUUCUGACGUGAAGUCCUAUGUUGGCGUAAUGUUGUCUCUUGUAAUUGAUCUACAAGAUUAUUUGUAUCCUGAGAUACGUAUUUUCAUUUUUUAAAUAACGGGCUCUUGACUUGUUCUUUUGUCCUGCACGCAUUAGGCUAUAUGCCUUUUGUAGAAUUCUCUCUACUGGGGAGGUUCGUCGUUAAGCCAUUUUUUUGGCACAGCCUAUUGUUGAAAGUCUUAAGGAGUCUACUAACUGAGGAAAGAAGAUACAAUAAAGAGGCUUCAGCAUACUC